rnacentral:lncRNA from 1 species
GUGUUUACAGACGAUGAGAGGUUCUUUGUCUGCGUUGAUGAAUCGGAAAAAACUGUUUACAAUCAAGACACAAUGAUCAAGGUGAGAUUGAUAGCUAUUUUCAUCCGCCUACACACUCAUAGAUCUGCAUGUUUUUUAGACAAAAAAGCGUCUCCCGAUUUAACCGUUUCUUGUAACUUUGGCACCUUGCGUCAUAAGACCGAUACCAUCACUCCUCUUUUAUCAAUUUUUUCCUUCAUUUUUCAGGCAAUCAGGUUUAUUGAGAAACACCUGCGAAAGAAGUUUGAUUUGAGAAAAGGGGGAAAAUCCAUUUGUACUACUUAUCGAAUGGGGACUCCAAGUGGACGGUGAAGGCUUCUGAAGACGUCAUGGAUCGCCAGCUUUGCCUUACCAAUUUCAUAUUGUCAACAAAGCCGUCUAAUUUUUACUAUAACCCAGAUCCGGUGUCGCAAUACUCUACACAGGGUGGCAUAAAAAGAACUAAAACGGCAAUCCCAAGAGGCGAAUUAUCCCCGUAUGAUAGUUAUGCAAACGUUGCAAACAUGAAAAAAUUGACGAACAAUACAGUAGAUAAAGCUCCGGCAGAUGAACCUAGUGCAGAUCUCAUAGAGAAACUCGUCACUGAAAGGUGUAAACGACGAGAGGCAGAAUUGGAGAAGUUCCUAGCACAAAUGAACGAAUUUUUCAACACGAAAAUAAAACAAACAGUGGCGCUUCCGCCGGAAAAGGAUAACCAGGAAUAGAAAAGGCCGCACUGAAAAAAAAGUUCUGUUGUCACAAACCAGAAUUUCUGGUUGUAUUUCGCAACCAGAUUUUCCGGUUGAUUCAACCAGAAGUACAGUUGACUCAACCAGACGUCUGGUUGACUCUACCAAAUUCUGGUUGAGUCAACUGUAAUUCUGGUUAAAUCAACCGGAAAAUCUGGUUGCGAAAUACAACCAGAAAUUCUGGUUUGUGACGACAGAACUUGUUUUCAGUGGGGAGGAACCCCGUGUCGCAUCGCCAAAAGGAAAAAGCUGGCGUUCGGGGGUGACAAUUAUUGCAGUUUGCAUACGUUAUGUAUAAUCUGUUGCCUACCUGCCCAUUUGAAGGCGCUUUUUUAUGCGAACCAGAGACCUGAAUGUGGGAAAGUGAAACCCGUCAACUUUCAUGUUGUAAUGCUUCCACGAGGUACCCGUGUAAGUCAGAGUUUAGAGUUUUGUGUGUGCCAUGCCCGGAUUUGCAUGGAAUCCCGGUAUUUCUUUACUUCCCUUCUCAUGCGCUCCUGAACAAUU